AGUAAUGCUUAGUGAAUCUAGCUUAUGGAGGGGGAUAACUACGGGAAACUGUAGCUAAUACCGCGUAUAAUCUAGAGAUGAAAGUGUGGGACCUUCAGGCCACAUGCCAUAAGAUGAGCCCAAGUGGGAUUAUGUAUUUGGUGAGGUAAAGGCUCACCAGGCCGACGAUCUCUAUCUGGUCUGAGAGGAUGACCAGCCACUCUGAGACUGAGACACGGCCCAGACUCCUACAGGAGGCAGCAGUGGAGAAUAUUGCACAGUGGGGGCAACCCUGACCCAGCCAUGCCGCGUGAAUGAAGAAGGCCUUCGGGUUGUAAAGUUCUUUCCGUAUCGAGGAAGGCAUUUAGUUUAAUAGACUAGGUGAUUGACGUUAACUACAGAAGAAACACCGGCUAACUCCGUGCCAGCAGCCGCGGUAAUACAGAGGGUGCGAGCGUUAAUCGCAAUAACUGGGCGUAAAGGGCACGCAUGCGGUGACUUAAGUGAGGUGUGAAAGCCCCGGGCUUAACCUGAAAAUUGCAUUUCAUACUGGGUCGCUAUAGUACUUUAGGGAGGGGUAGAAUUCCACGUGUAGAGGUGAAAUGCGUAUAGAUGUGGAGGAAUAC
rnacentral:rRNA from 1 species